CUUGUUCUUUAAAUAGGGACUCGUAUCAACGGCAUCACGAGGGUUACACUGUCUCCUCUCUCCAAUCAGUGAAACUGAUCUUCCCGUGAAGAAGCGGGAAUGUAAUUAUAAGACGAGAAGACCCCAUGGAGCUUUAAAUUUUACAGCAACUCAGUCAAACAAACCCUUAUAAUCCACAGAGCCAUGCAUUCCAAUUUUAGGUUGGGGUGACCGCGGAGUAAAAAUUAACCUCCACGACGAAAAGAACUAAAUCUUUAUCCAAGAGCUACAACUCUAAGAAUUAGAACACUAACGACAAUGACCCGAUAAUCGAUCAACGGACCAAGUUACCCUGGGGAUAACAGCGCAAUCUACUUCGAGAGCUCAUAUCGACAAGUAGGCUUACGACCUCGAUGUUGGAUCAGGGUAUCCCAGUGGUGCAGCCGCUACUAAUGGUUCGUUNGUUCAACGAUUAAAACC
rnacentral:rRNA from 1 species